rnacentral:rRNA from 1 species
AACAGAGAGCACGGGUGUUAUUCGAUUGAAUUGGGCGUAAAGGGUACGUAGGUGGCCGAUGACAGUAGGGAUGAAAUGGCGGGGUGUUCCCACGCUGCGAAACUACGUAGAGUAUGAUUCGGCUUGAGUGAACUAGAGGUUAAGUGGAAGCUCCCGUUAUUCAAGAGUAAAAUCUUAUGACUCGGGACCGAACGCCAACUGGCGAAGGCAUCUUUCUGGGGUUCACUGACGCUGAGGUACGAAAGUGCGGGGCGCAAACAGG